AUUGAACGCUGGCGGCAGGCCUAACACAUGCAAGUCGAACGAGUGGCGGACGGGUGAGUAAUGUCUGGGAAACUGCCCGAUGGAGGGGGAUAACUACUGGAAACGGUAGCUAAUACCGCAUACCAUCGGAUGUGCCCAGAUGGGAUUAGCUAGUCGGUGGGGUAACGGCUCACCAAGGCGACGAUCCCUAGCUGGUCUGAGAGGAUGACCAGCCAUGCUGUAACUGAUACACGGUCCAGACUCCUACGGGAGGCAGCAGUGGGGAAUAUGGCACAAUGGGCGCAAGCCUGAUAGAGCCAUGCCGCGUGUGUGAAGAAGGCCUUCGGGUUGUAAAGUACUUUCAGCGAGGAGGCGUUACUCGCAGAAGAAGCAGCGGCUAACUCCGUGCCAGCCGCCGCGGUAAUAC
rnacentral:rRNA from 1 species